rnacentral:rRNA from 1 species
AUUGAACGCUGGCGGCAGGCCUAACACAUGCGAGUCGAGCGGAUGAAGGGAGCUUGCUCCUGGAUUCAGCGGCGGACGGGUGAGUAAUGCCUAGGAAUCUGCCUGGUAGUGGGGGAUAACGUCCGGAAACGGGCGCUAAUACCGCAUACGUCCUGAGGGAGAAAGUGGGGGAUCUUCGGACCUCACGCUAUCAGAUGAGCCUAGGUCGGAUUAGCUAGUUGGUGGGGUAAAGGCCUACCAAGGCGACGAUCCGUAACUGGUCUGAGAGGAUGAUCAGUCACACUGGAACUGAGACGCGGUCCAGACUCCUACGGGAGGCAGCAGUGGGGAAUAUUGGACGAUGGGCGGAAGCCUGAUCCAGCCAUGCCGCGUGUGUGAAGAAGGUCUUCGGAUUGUAAAGCACUUUAAGUUGGGAGGAAGGGCAGUAAGUUAAUACCUUGCUGUUUUGACGUUACCAACAGAAUAAGCACCGGCUAACUUCGUG